GAUGAACGCUAGCGGCAGGCUUAAUACAUGCAAGUCGAACGGCAAGGACUUUCGGGUCCCUAGAGUGGCGCACGGGUGAGUAACACGUACACAACAUACCCUAUAUUGGAGGAUAGCCUUGGGAAACUGGGGGUAAUAUUCCAUAGUAUUUAUUGGAGGCAUCUCUGAUAAAUUAAAGAGCAAUCGAUAUAGGAUUGGUGUGCGUCCCAUUAGCUAGUUGGUAGGGUAACGGCCUACCAAGGCUACGAUGGGUAGCUGGCGUGAGAGCGCGACCAGCCACACUGGAACUGAGACACGGUCCAGACUCCUACGGGAGGCAGCAGUAGGGAAUAUUGGACAAUGGAGGCAACUCUGAUCCAGCCAUGCCGCGUGGAGGAUGACUGCCCUCUGGGUUGUAAACUCCUUUUGUACAGGAAGAAACCUCCUCAUUUAUGAGUGAGCUGACGGUACUGUAAGAAUAAGCACCGGCUAACUCCGUGCCAGCAGCCG
rnacentral:rRNA from 1 species